rnacentral:lncRNA from 1 species
GAGAACAAAGACCCCUUUGUGGCUUGCUUUUGGGAAGAGAGAUGGGGGGAGAACUGCAUAAAUAAUAUGAGAAGCAGCAACCCCAAUUAUAUUUUGUUACCUUCUCUUGUGAAUAUGAAAUAAAAACCACUUUAUUUUGAAAGCUGCAGGGGAGCCAAGUUUCUCCAGCCUGGACGUGGAGGCCCGGGGCCCAGGGCCGGGCCAGCAGGACAGUCACUGUGGUUUCGGGGGCAGCCAGGCCAGCUGUGAGCACAUCAGGCUGUACUGGCCCCGCCUGGCCCAGGCGAGGCAUCAUAAAACAUGGCAUGAGCCGAUUUCUUUCCAGCUGCAGGAACUCCAAUUUGUGCAGGAGGAGGGUCAUUUCUUUACCAUUUGGGGCUGGAAAGAAAAUGGCUUUCUCCCCUCCUUCCCCCACCACUGUUCUCAGCCAUGCGUGUCUUCCUGAGUUUCCCUCCAGCCUCUUCCUGCCAACACUCCACGCAGCAGGGCCAGCCUGGGGCCCCUGCAGGACUGGCGUGGGGGCUGCAGCUGUCUUCCCACCGCUCCACCCUCCCCCAGCACAGGGAAGUCUGGCCCGGCUCACUGCCUGCGGUUUCUUCAUACACUCCAUGUCCUGACAGCCUCGUGGCCUGUGCCCACGCUUUCUCCUCUCUUUGGCAAGCCCCAUUCUUCCCUUGAGUUAAGGUGUCACCUCCUCUGGGAAGCCCUCCCUUAGUCUCUUCCCACCCACCCUUCCAAUAUUCAGCAUAGGGCAGCGUGGCUUUGUCUCAGUGACCCUUCAAUGGACUGAGGUCGUAACUGAGGACAUAAUUCAUCCCUGGGCCCCCAGCACACAUCACAGGGCCUGAGUCAAGAGCAGCCUGUGGGUGGAUGGUUGAGGAAGCCCACAUUCUUCUUACUGCAUGCUUCCUGGUGCUUACAGUGGGCAAGGCUCUGUCAACCACAAGCCAUCUUCUGUAGGAAAAAAAGGAGAGGGGACUUGUAGGUUAAUAUAACUGAGGCGUCUGAGUAGGUGGCUUCAGGUAUGGCUCUAUCCAGGGCCUCUCUAUCUCAUCUUAUCACAGAGCUUCAUGGAGCCGUAGCUUCCAUGGAGAGAGAAGUGGAGUGAUGGGCCAGAGGCCAUUGGCACGCGUGGCUUUCUGAUUGGGGCACCACCUAAACCAAGAUUUGCCUUCUAAAGUCGAAGACUUGCUUUCUUUCCCACUCUCCCAGAGGAAACUAAGAAAAAAGUGAAAUGUAAGCACUGCUGCCGAAGCUGCCUUUGCCCCACGACCACCGUCUCGUCCCAGCUCAUACCUCACGGGGUCAGAUAGCUUCAGUCUUCCAGCGAGAGAAAUCCUGGUGCCCCAGGCACCUGGGGAGAAGCUCACAGUUACUGUGGCUAUUGUCGCUGUUGGUUUGAACUUUCUAAUAAAACUGUAUCUGUGGCCAGGCGCAGUGGCUCACGCCAGUAAUCCCAGCACUUUGGGAGGCCGAGGCAGGCAGAUCACUUGAGCUCAGGAGUUUGAGACCAGCUUGGCCAACAUGGUGAAACCCUGUCUCUACUAAAAAUACAAAAAUUAGCUGGGUGUGUUGGCAGGCGCCUGUGAUCCCAGCUAUUAAGGAGGCUGAGGCAGAAGAAUCGCUUGAACCUGGGAGGUGGAGGUUGCAGUGAGCCAAGAUUGCACCACUGCACUCCAGCCUGGGUGACAGAGGAAGACUUCAUCAGAAGAAAAAAACUGU